rnacentral:ncRNA from 2 species
AGAAACCACUAGGGGAGCUGGAUAAUGGCCAGCUGAGAAAAAGAUCCGUUAAUCUUUGACCCUUUAACCUGAUCUGGGUAAUACCAGCGUAGGGAAGUGUAUAGUGCAUCGU